rnacentral:rRNA from 1 species
UACGUAGGUGGCAAGCGUUAUCCGGAUUUACUGGGUGUAAAGGGCGUGUAGGCGGGGAAGCAAGUCAGAUGUGAAAACCACGGGCUCAACCUGUGGCCUGCAUUUGAAACUGUUUUUCUUGAGUGCUGGAGAGGCAAUCGGAAUUCCGUGUGUAGCGGUGAAAUGCGUAGAUAUACGGAGGAACACCAGUGGCGAAGGCGGAUUGCUGGACAGUAACUGACGCUGAGGCGCGAAAGCGUGGGGAGCAAACAGG